rnacentral:lncRNA from 1 species
UUGAUUGAAUCAAUCUUUCUUACAGAUAAGGUGAAAUUAGCUGUACAAAGUCAGUAGUUUAAAACUGUUGAUCAAGAAACAAAAUGAAAAAUGAACAGCAGGUGGCAGUACUAUCAAGAGCAGUGAUUCUGAUGAGUGUCAUCAGCUAGUGUUCGUGUACUGUCCGUUCUUCUGCAAAAGAAAGAUACUGAGACACUCUUUUCUUGCAUGAAAUAGAGCAAGUGAGAAGGCAGGGUGCUCCAUGUUUUGAGAAGUUACAGGAAUUCUGCAAUCUCAGAGAGCAUCUGUCUGACAAAGGCACUCUGCAGACCUGCUGCUCCUUUUCUGUGUAUAUCCUGUGUAGGUAUCCCUUAACCUUCUGUAAGACAUACUAGCCUCUGGGGCUUAGGAUAAGCAUGUAUUUGCUCUAAAUAGUUUCAUCUAUUUAGGAUCACUAAUUUGAAUUUCGCUUUCAUUAACAGUAUCUCAUCCA